UCCUACGGGAGGCAGCAGCAAGGAAUAUUGUCCAAUGGGGGAAACCCUGAGACAGCAACGCCGCGUGAGUGAUGAAGGCUUUCGGGUCGUAAAACUCUGUUGUUAGGGAAGAACAAGUGCUAGUUGAAUAAGCUGGCACCUUGACGGUACCUAACCAGAAAGCCACGGCUAACUACGUGCCAGCAGCCGCGGUAAUACGUAGGUGGCAAGCGUUAUCCGGAAUUAUUGGGCGUAAAGCGCGCGCAGGUGGUUUCUUAAGUCUGAUGUGAAAGCCCACGGCUCAACCGUGGAGGGUCAUUGGAAACUGGGAGACUUGAGUGCAGAAGAGGAAAGUGGAAUUCCAUGUGUAGCGGUGAAAUGCGUAGAGAUAUGGAGGAACACCAGUGGCGAAGGCGACUUUCUGGUCUGUAACUGACACUGAGGCGCGAAAGCGUGGGGAGCAAACAGGAUUAGAUACCCUGGUAGUCCACGCCGUAAACGAUGAGUGCUAAGUGUUAGAGGGUUUCCGCCCUUUAGUGCUGAAGUUAACGCAUUAAGCACUCCGCCUGGGGAGUACGGCCGCAAGGCUGAAACUCAAAUGAAUU
rnacentral:rRNA from 1 species